rnacentral:rRNA from 1 species
UACAGAGGGGGCAAGCGUUGUUCGGAAUUACUGGGCGUAAAGGGCGCGUAGGCGGCCUGCUAAGUCGAACGUGAAAUCCCUGGGCUCAACCCAGGAACUGCGUCCGAUACUGGCAGGCUUGAAUCCGGGAGAGGGAUGUGGAAUUCCAGGUGUAGCGGUGAAAUGCGUAGAUAUCUGGAGGAACACCGGUGGCGAAGGCGGCAUCCUGGGCCAGUACUGACGCUGAUGCGCGAAAGCGUGGGGAGCGAACAGG